rnacentral:lncRNA from 1 species
CAGGAAGCUAACUUCAUGCUUUCUCUCAUCUUUGUGUCUAACACCUUCACAAUACAGCACAUUGGGCUCUUUCAGUGGAAAAUAAAAAUCACUGUGCGAGAGGGGCUGAUUGCUGAUGAUUGAAGCUUAUCGAAAUAAAACCAGAACACAUGCAUGUUCUUAUUCAGAGAAGCACAUGAAGCAUUUCACUGCAGAAAUUAUUGACAGUCUUCUCUGUGCACAUCACCAUCCAUUAACUGGGGUUCUGGGAUAUACAGCAGCUCAACAUACAGGUUAAUACUUGGUAAAUUACAUCCUUUCCAAAAAGCAAGUCAUGCCAGACUGCACAGAGAAAAGGAAAGACACCAUGAAGAGAGGUCAGUAGUGGACGGCUCAUAGCCCUGAAAGUCCCAGUUCAAGCUUCCACAAUCAUCCUACACAAGAGCACUGCUUCUCACAGGACUGCCUCAGCCUGGCAGGAUUCAGUCUCCUGCUCUGAGGGAAAAACAGGAAGUCAAGGAUCAAGACCGAGUGCUCAACUGAGAUCAGAAAGGAGGACACACAGUGACUUGGCCAAAUCACUGGAGAUUCACACAGCAGAGCUCAGACGAGUGCUAUCAGCACAGCUGAGGAAGACAACAGUUAGGGGAAUCAGUGAAGUGAGCUCCCAGCUACCGCCUCGAGAGGCUGCUAUUGACAAUCUCCUGUCUGGCCAAACAACUUCCUUUCUACAACUUUGCCUGGGCGAAUGGCAGUAGGAAAACACCACCAACAAAUUGGAAAUUGCCACAUCAUUCACAUCGGUUUUCCUCUACUGAAUCCAAUCCCUGCUUUCAAGAAGAAAGAAGUGGUAGUACAAUACAAUCUCAGCAUUCUGUAAUCUGGCUUGAAUGUGACUGUGCAAGGAUCCUGAAAGAGAAACAUUGGUUGUGUUUUUAUUCCUUGGGUAUAAGAAUCCUGAAAGAGAAAGGCAUCUGAACCUUGGAGGCAUGGGGUUCAUCUCAUCCUCAUCCAGCCUGUGAUGAUGGAGCUGUUUUCACCAGAAACGUGAGGAGACUCAUACCACUUGAGAACUAUUUGUUGGAGUGCCAGAUUAUUUAAGGGCCUUUGCAUGUUUCAAGUCCUCUUCUUAAAGUAAGAAUACUCUCCACAUUUAUAACAGCAACAAAAACACCAAUGUCAGCACAAAAUGCAAAAACGGAGGCACUUCUAUGUCAUAAUGAUACAUCAGAGUUCUGCUCAACUCUUUUUUAGAAAAAGAAGCUCAGACUUACACACAUCCACUUUCUUAAAUAAAUAAUUGUUCAAUGAAAGUUACCCUGGGAGGAUUGCUGUCUCCAGCUCCCAAGCACUGCUCAUCUGCUGACGGGGGGUACUCUGUGACUGUUACAGAAAUUGCUCUUAAAUGCAUAAAACACAGAAGAGAAUUUUUGGAAAAUCCCUUAUUAUUCAUUAAAGCAUUUUAGGGCCUCAUUAAUCCAGAUGGGUUAAUCGGUUGUUGAUUUGCCAGGUUGUUAAGCAUCCAUUGUCAGAUGCUGAUGGGGUGUGAGAAAAUAUAAUUCCGAUCUACCAAAGAGUCACCUGAAUGAGGCUAGCACUUCAUCAGGGAAGGCUGUAUCUUCCUCAGGGAAGGCUGUGUCUUCAUCAGGGAAGGCUGUAUCUUCCUCAGAGAAGGCUGUAGCUUCCUCAGAGAAGGGUGUAUCUUUACCAGGGAAGGCUAUGUCUUCAUCAGGGAAGGCUGUAUCUUCCUCAGAGAAGGCUGUAUCUUCACCAGGGAAGGCUGUAUCUUCAUUACGGAAGGCAGUAUCUUCUGGGGAUAAAUUAAGCUGGGCAUCCAGCUUCUUCUUUAAUUUCCAAAACUUCUCUGUAUCACAAAACAUUCCUCAUUCUUUGGGUGUUUUUUUUUUGUUUUUUUGUUUUUUUUUUUUUUGCCUACCUAAGGUCUGAAAUGAUGUCAGAAGCCAUUUUCAAAAGCUAGUUCGUAACAGGUCAACAGGUCAGUCGCACAUAUGCACUUAGGCACAGAAGCCCAACAUUUAAAGAUGUUUGUGUGUACGUGUCUGUAUACGUGUAUACACAUCUGUGUAUAUGUUUGUGUCUACACAUGUAUACACGUCUAGGCGUAUAUGUUUGUGUCUACACGUCUGUGUAUAUGUUUGUGUCUACAUGUGUCUAUGUGUUUGUCUAUAUGUCCAUAUGCGUAUAUUUGUGUGUGUCUGCGUGUGUGUGCAUGAGUUUGGCUUUGACUUUGUUUCAAAGUUCUUAGCUAGAGCCUGUCCACAUCUUCAGCCCUUCAGACACAAAUGGUAUUCAGGUUAUCAAGGGGAUUCUUUAGCCAGGGCUUAAAAACUCAACUUUCUUUCUUUCCAAACCUUGACUGACUGAGAGUCACAUAACAGCAGUGAGCACAGUGAGAAAAGUCCCUGGAUUAGAAGUUGGAAAAUAUGAUUCAGGGUCCUGGUUCUGUUUUAAGAGAGGAAGUGACCAUCAUUAG